UACAGAGGUGGCAAGCGUUGUUCGGAAUUACUGGGCGUAAAGGGCGCGUAGGCGGUCCGAUAAGUCUUGCGUGAAAUCCCCCGGCUCAACUGGGGAACUGCGCGGGAAACUGCCGGGCUUGAGUUCGGGAGAGGGAAGCGGAAUUCCGGGUGUAGCGGUGAAAUGCGUAGAUAUCCGGAGGAACACCGGUGGCGAAGGCGGCUUCCUGGACCGACACUGACGCUGAGGCGCGAAAGCCAGGGGAGCAAACGGG
rnacentral:rRNA from 1 species